UAUGUGCAUGUUAUCUUGCUGAACCCUCUGUGUUGUUUACUGUGUCAUUUAUUGUCUUGUAGAGUUUUAUCAUGAUUGCUCCCCUAAGCAGACGGAUAAAACCUAAUUCAAAACCGUAAAGGGGAUAUGAUUGUGGUUUAAACCUAAAUCUUUCUGCAGGUUUCACUUUGGCAAGUGACCUUUGUUAUCUCACCAGAAGAAGGAUGUCCACCCACUGUAAAGUGCUGUGGGAGGUUUGAACCCACUGUCUGGUCGUCACCAGGUGAAUCAGAGACUGAGGACCACAGACAACGGAACAAAGUGAUGAAACAUAAAUUGGAAAAAAAACAACAAGGAGAACGCGAAGAAGCAAACCAACAACCAGAGGAGGCACAAAGAAGAACGUGCAGCAGCAAAGGCUGAAUAUGUAUGAGAGAAAGUCAAUCAGUGCAGCAGCAGCAGCAGCGGCAGCGGCGGCCCGUCUUCAUCCCUCAACCUGGCAGCGGUCGGUGAGCGGCCUGUGAGCUGCUGUUCCGGCAGCCAGCAGCCGGUUAGCAGCCAUCUGCUCGGCCGGUGCCGGUGUCCAGACGCCGGUCCGGCAGAACCGGGACGCAGGUUCAAGGACGACUUGUAUGAGGGAAACGGAGCCGGCGCCGCAGCAGUCGUGGUUGA
rnacentral:lncRNA from 1 species